GGACCCGUAGCUCAGUUUGGUUAGAGCGUUUCCUUGACAUGGAAAAGGUCACAAGUUCGAGUCUUGUCGGGUCCA
rnacentral:tRNA from 1 species